rnacentral:lncRNA from 1 species
AGUCGCGGGAUGUCCAAGUUGCUGAACAGUAGUCUUAUAGGUAGCCUUUAAGAUUUUCUUUGUUUUCCUUGUUGCUUUUUCCUUUGCUUGAACUCCUUCAACCUUUGUUAUUUGUUUAUCAAUUUUGCUAGAAAAUUUAAUAAACUUGCUUCAUUCUCUUUUCUUCAUCUUCACUUUUUUUGUUUACGCCCAACCUUUAACCUUUAGACCAGCGGCAUAUGUGUUGCUUUUCUAUAAGAAAACAGGCCAACGUAGCCUAUACAGUCGUAGGUGUUGGUGUAGAACUUUUGCAAAGUUGUUAGCCAUAGGGUCGACAAUCGGACUCCUUACUUACAGAAGCAGACGAGUCCGCAUGACCACUUGGCUAUUAACCUUGGCUUUCUUCAAUCCUUUAAGUUAUUUGGCCUGCAUCACAACAUACUAAAAAUUUUUGGGUUAUGAAAUUCGCUAGCCGUUCAUAUCAAAAGUACGCGGUUGUAUGAAAUUUCGUAAGCAAGGGUCUGAGAAAACUCCUUAUCUUUUUUGUAACAAAUUCCAUGGGUUGCAUAGCAAGUAUCACAACACUUUAGGAAUUAGUAUAGAUCCAAAUGAUCAUUCCGCACUUGGGAGAGGUGAAGCUUAUUGACUGUAUAGGAUGUCAGCAAUGGAUAGAGCUUUGUAUAUGCACACUAACUUGUUUAACCUUUCACAAAAAUGUGCGGUUGUAUAAGUUUAGCGCGGCUUACUGCCCGAAGGGCAAGCCUUAGGCAAUCUUCCGAAAACUGUAGGCUACCUUAAUGCACUCAAUAGCCAUUUAAAUGUUCCAGGGCAGCCGUCCAUAGGGCGUAUUGCGUAAUGUGCCUCCUUCGUCUCUGAGGCCCGGUUCUUCGUGUAUUAGGCCAAGAGACCCAAACUCCUUUAGUUAACUAAGCCUUGAAAAAGACCAUUGUGACUACUUCUAGGAAUCC